UGGGGAAUUUUGGACAAUGGGGGCAACCCUGAUCCAGCCAUGCCGCGUGAGUGAAGAAGGCCUUCGGGUUGUAAAGCUCUUUCGGCCGGAAAGAAAGCUUACCUCUGAAUACGGGGUGAGGGUGACGGUACCGGCAGAAGAAGCACCGGCUAACUACGUGCCAGCAGCCGCGGUAAUACGUAGGGUGCGAGCGUUAAUCGGAAUUACUGGGCGUAAAGCGUGCGCAGGCGGCUCUUUAAGCUUGCUGUGAAAGCCCCGGGCUUAACCUGGGAAUGGCAGUGAGGACUGGAGUGGCUGGAGUGUGGCAGAGGGGGGUGGAAUUCCACGUGUAGCAGUGAAAUGCGUAGAGAUGUGGAGGAACACCGAUGGCGAAGGCAGCCCCCUGGGCUAACACUGACGCUCAGGCACGAAAGCGUGGGGAGCAAACAG
rnacentral:rRNA from 1 species